rnacentral:rRNA from 1 species
UGAAUACGAGACGCUAAGGCGUCGAAGUAGUGUAUGUCGUACUUCCAAGAAAAGCUUGCACUGUCAUAGAUAAAAAACGCCUGUACCAUAACCGACACAGGUGGGUAGGUAGAGUAUACUAAGGGGCGCGAGAUAACUCUCUCUAAGGAACUCGGCAAAAUAACUCCGUAACUUCGGGAGAAGGAGUGCCUUAUUCGUAAGGUUGCAAUAACAAGAUCCAAGCAACUGUUUAUCAAAAACACAGGUCUCCGCUAAGUCGUAAGACGAUGUAUGGGGGCUGACGCCUGCCCAGUGCCAGAAGGUUAAAGAAGUUGGUUAGCAAUUGCGAAGCUGAUAACUGAAGCCCUGGUGAACGGCGGCCGUAACGAUAACGGUCCUAAGGUAGCGAAAUUCCUUGUCGGGUAAGUUCCGACCCGCACGAAAGGCGUAAUGAUUUGGAUACUGUCUCGGAGAGGGGCUCGGUGAAAUAGACUUGUCUGUGAAGAUGCGGACUACCUGCACCAGGACAGAAAGACCCUAUGAAGCUUUACUGUAACUUGAAAUUGAAAUUGGACUUUAUUCGCGCAGUAUAGGUGGGAGGCGUUGAUUAUAAUCUUGUGGGAUUAUUGGAGCCAUCAGUGAGAUACCACUCUUGUAAUGUUAGAUUUCUAACUUUGAAUCAUUAUCUGGUCAAAGAACAGUUUCAGGCGGGCAGUUUGACUGGGGCGGUCGCCUCCUAAACGGUAACGGAGGCGUACAAAGGUUUCCUCUGAACGGUUAGAAAUCGUAUCUAGAGUGUAAAGGCAUAAGGAAGCUUGACUGUGAGACCUACAAGUCGAGCAGGGACGAAAGUCGGUCUUAGUGAUCUGACGGUACUGAGUGGAAAGGCCGUCACUCAACGGAUAAAAGUUACUCUAGGAUAACAGGCUGAUCUCCCCCAAGAGUUCACAUCGACGGGGAGGUUUGGCACCUCGAUGUCGGCUCAUCGCAUCCUGGGGCGGUAGUACGUCCCAAGGGUUGGGCUGUUCGCCCAUGAAAGCGGUACGCGAGCUGGGUUCAGAACGUCGUGAGACAGUUCGGUCCAUAUCCGGUGUAGGCGUUAGAAUACUGAGAGGAGCCUUCUUUAGUACGAGAGGACCGAGAAGGACAUACCUCUGGUGUACCAGUUAUCGUGCCAACGGUAAACGCUGGGUAGCUAUGUAUGGAGUGGAUAACCGCUGAAAGCAUCUAAGUGGGAAGCCCACCUCAAGAUAAGUAUUCUC